UACGUAGGGACCGAGCGUUGUCCGGAAUCAUUGGGCGUAAAGAGCGUGUAGGCGGCCCGAUAAGUCCGCUGUGAAAGUCCAGGGCUCAACCCUGGAAUGCCGGUGGAUACUGUCGGGCUCGAAUCCGGAAGAGGGGAGUGGAAUUCCUGGUGUAGCGGUGAAAUGCGCAGAUAUCAGGAGGAACACCAAUGGCGAAGGCAGCUCACUGGGACGGUAUUGACGCUGAGACGCGAAAGCGUGGGGAGCAAACAGG
rnacentral:rRNA from 1 species